GAGGGGAGACACUGAGAAGUCAGGAAACAUCUGUUCCAAAUGGCGUCCCCAGAAGGAUUUGGAGUACCAGUGACUUGGGUUAUCUUUGCAGUUAGGGAAGAAGGGAACACAUCCCAGGAUCCCUUGCUCUGCUUUCUAUGAAGACAUGGAGACGUGCGGGCUUUAUUUCCCAUCUCCCAGCCCCGGGUGCCUCUGUGAUGAAGCCUUGACGGUUUUGGCUGCCCUUUCUCGACUUCUGUUGUUUUCUGGGGCUCAGUGGGAUCAGUAUUCUGUGCCGUGGCAAGACAUGCCAACAAAUUGCAUCACUUCUGCCUCGGUGACCAAGGACAAUGACAUGCCAUAUGCCAGCGGCAGGAAAUGAAUGGGGCUCAUUUACACUGGCACCGGGUGAUGCGGCCAUCAGCUUCCUGAGACUGUCUGCAGCAAAUUGGAAGGUGGCAGAGAGGCGGAACCCCUGGGCUCCCAGCUACAGGACAGAGAAGACUCUGGAGCCAGGAAGCUCAGUGCUUGGGUCUGCUGCAAACUGCUGGAAGCGUAAAUGGGAAGAAAGUUCUCUCUGCAUAGCUCACAGCUCUGCACUGAUCUCAGCGCUGUCGGAAGUGUGUACCGGGAUUCCGUCUUUCUCACUUGUUUUCUGUGCUCAGGGCUGUUGCAGGCAAAGAGUAUGAAUGGUUGCAUGGUGUCAACAGCACGGCAUCAUGUGCAGUUCUCCUGUCAAUAUUUUAACAUAGAGGACCUCAGGGUCAAGAGAUCGUCACCAGCUUCAGCACCUGGACAGCUCCUGGUAACAGGACUUCCUCCUGGAGAACCACAGCAGGGAUGUCUACCUCGAUAGGAGUGUUCUGAGCUCAGGAAAGCUCAGGGGUUGGCAACAGAACUGACGUCACGGGCUCAGGUGUUUCCAAAAGCAUGUCCUGGGUGCAAUUCAUGGCCUUCAUUGUCAGCAACUACCUUACAGGAGCUGACUCAGCCAUGGAGAGAGCCAUUUCUGAGAGAACAAAGAGGAGGCAAAUGCCUGGAGGAUGAGACCUGGACCUUUGAAAUGAUAGUAAACUACCACAGAUAUCUACACUUGCAUAAUAUGCAACGUCCUUGGGGAAUGAAAGUCUGGAUGUGCAGAGAGGGUUAUAUCUUUCUGCUCUCUUCGUCUGGCAAACCUCCGUGUGUUUUAUAGGAUUUUUUUGCACUGUUUUUAAAAUCGUCUUGCUCGUUGUGAAAUUGGCCUGUUUACUUUUUAAUGGUCUCCACACAGCAAAGAUCUCAAUAUAUAAUUU
rnacentral:sRNA from 1 species